CGAUAAGUAAUGUGAAUUGCAGAAUUCAGUGAAUCAUCGAAUCUUUGAACGCACAUUGCGCCCAUUAGUAUUCUAGUGGGCAUGCCUGUUCGAGCGUCAUUU
rnacentral:rRNA from 1 species